GCGGGCGUGGUGGAAUUGGUAGACACGCCAGAUUUAGGUUCUGGUGACGGAAACGUCGUGGGGGUUCAAAUCCCUUCGCCCGCACCA
rnacentral:tRNA from 1 species